rnacentral:rRNA from 1 species
CCUACGGGUGGCAGCAGUGAGGAAUAUUGGUCAAUGGACGAGAGUCUGAACCAGCCAAGUAGCGUGAAGGAUGACUGCCCUAUGGGUUGUAACCUUCUUUUAUAUGGGAAUAAAAUGUUCCACGUGUGGGAUUUUGUAUGUACCUUAUGAAUAAGGAUCGGUUACCUCCGUGCCAGCAGCCACGGUAAUACGGAGGAUCCGAGCGUUAUCCGGAUUUAUUGGGUUUAAAGGGUGCGUAGGUGGAUUGUUAAGUCAGUUGUGAAAGUUUGCGGCUCAACCGGAAAAUUGCAGUUGAAACUGGCAGUCUGGAGUACAGUAGAGGUGGGCGGAAUUCGUGGUGUAGCGGUGAAAUGCUUAGAUAUCACGAAGAACUCCGAUUGCGAAGGCAGCUCACUGGACUGCAACUGACACUGAGGCUCGAAAGUGUGGGUAUCAAACAGGAUUAGAUACCCCUGUAGUC